rnacentral:rRNA from 1 species
UACGUAGGGUCCAAGCGUUAAUCGGAAUUACUGGGCGUAAAGCGUGCGCAGGCGGUUCGUUAAGUCAGCUGUGAAAGCCCCGGGCUCAACCUGGGAAUUGCGGUUGAAACUGGCGAACUAGAAUCUGGCAGAGGGGGGUGGAAUUCCACGUGUAGCAGUGAAAUGCGUAGAGAUGUGGAGGAACACCGAUGGCGAAGGCAGGUCUCUGGGCCAAUACUGACGCUCAUGCACGAAAGCGUGGGGAGCAAACAGG